AGCCCGAGCAGCAGCCGAGGGAGGAGGAGGAGUUCGUGCUCCUCGCCUCCAACCGCAACGACUUCAACGAGGUCAUCAUGGUCAUCGACUCGCCCUCCGACCGCUACCUCGUCCUCGACCCCAGCCGCAAUGUCCACAACAUUUUCCCCAAGAAGAUUGCCUGGACCAAUUCCUACUGGGUAGUUAUCUGAACAGAAUUUAGCUGAGCCGACAUUUUGGUUAAUGCUGUAUCAUCCGUGACAUGAGUAUGUAUGUAUGAGUACAUAAUUGGUAUAAGCAUAAUAUCGAGCACAUGGUAGGCAUUAGGACUUCUAUGCUCGAUACUGCCAGUAGGGCUGUUAUCAUUGGGAAUGCACUCCAGUCUCAGUUUUUGGCAUGGGAACAGAAACGAUGUUUUUAUCCCACUGGAUUUUUUUACAUAGACGUUGUUUUCAUGGCCCAGAAAUAAGUUUUAUCACGCAGAAAAAAUGUUUUAAUCAGCUUCCAACACUCUGCUCAAUUGCUCAUUGAUGGUAUCACCAUUCCUCACCAGUUGACCAUGGAAUGUAAGGCCUUAAUUUCUUAAUGAAGGCAUCAUAUUAUUCUUUCA